GGUUUUCUUAAAAAUUAGCGACAAAUCGACGUCGCUAACAGCAAUCGACGCGCGUCGCACAAUAAAGUGGUGAAAACUAUUUGUAUUGUCCUUUUUUUUUUUUUUAGUAAAUUCAGUACCUGUUGAUACACUAAAACAACAUACAUACAUGUAUGAAAUAAUCAGCCUGGUAUCUCUGCUUUUUUUUUUAAAAAAAAGAAGAAGCAUAAAACCAAUAUUGGUUUAUAACAGUUACACAACCUACAUGUAACUUCAUAAAUGCUACAUCGGCAGAUUGAAUUUAAAAAAGAUUAAUAAAGUACUUCAAAUUCAAAUAUAAACGUUAUAUUUGUUCGGAAUAGUAAUAAUUUUUUUCUCUGCCAAAGAAAGAAAACAAAAAAGAAGUUCGCCUUUAUAUAGCCUGUAUACUUUUAUUUUUCCGUGAUCCGGAUCGCGGGCCUCGCGGGGUUUUCUGAAAGUGUGCACGGAGAACACACGUGUUUCCGUUUCAACGAAAACAAACAAACACAGCUUCACCGUGACUGUCACAGCGAACGCUUGUAUUUUACAUCUUUAAAACGAUCUGAUGUCAGAAGAAGAAGAUGCCCUGGAUCCCCUGUUGCAGGAUGACCCAAACGAUCAUGCAUUCAGUAUAAAUACGUACAUGGUAUUGACAUCCCAAUAUUUAGUGGGAAGUUUCCAGGUAUCAUCCGCUAGCGACAGUCUACUGACAAAUCCAGACAUGCAUUGGAAGGAUGCUGAUGUGGAGGACACAGGAACACCUGAUCCCAGAACUGUGGCAUUUCAUUCGGGGUGACAACCUGGCUUUCAGUUGAUAUGGGACUCUAUUAUUCGGAAAACUGCAGAUUUUAUGAAGCUGUCUUUGACAGAAGAUUUGGUUUUCUCCAUCUGUGUUGCCACCAACCAUUAUGCUGAGAUAGUCAAAACUAGGGGGAAGGGUUGCCAUAUACUUCCCAAGGAAGUUUGCAGCCUCUCACUGAAGAGGAACUGUACAGAUUUUUGUGCAUUAUCUUACACACGCCUGCUGUGAAGUUCCAGUCGAUAGACAGAUAUUGGUCAACACAUGCCCCUGUCGGAACAACUCGUUAUCAAGAAUUAUGUCUAGAAAUAGGUUUCAAGAGGUUGAAUAUAAGAACAUUUUUGUUAAAUAUGAUGCAAGUACAUUUAAAUCUAGUGAUUGAAAGUAAGUACUUGAACAUUCGUUUAUGUUGAACUUGGAGAGGAAAAAUGGUUAGUACUUUUUGAUAACAUUUGAUAAGGUGUUGUUGCUUAGCAACCAAAUAUAAUUGAAUAAAAAUAGAUUAUUUUAGAUUAACAAUAAUUGAAAGAUCUUUGUUUUAAUGUUGCAAUACUUAUUAUAUUUAAUGGAACAUAAUGGCAAAACGUCAUAUUAUUAGAAAAUGAUGGACAAGUAUAUAAAGUACGAAGUUUCCAUUUGAUGACCUUUGAUCUUAAUUCUCUUGAUUAUAUUUUUUGUUAAAAACCUUUUAAAAUGAUUAAGAUCUAUUUAAAGAUUAUAUUUUUAAAAUAAUGUGACAUUUACUAAUCAUCAUGGAUUGUAAUUACGUUUAAAUUGUGUCGAAUGGAUGCAGAAAGGCAAAUUAUGGUCAAAAUUGUACUAUGAGUGUUGUUACUUAGCAACCAAAAAUAUUUGUUUGUCAAUAAAAUUGAUUAGUUUGA